rnacentral:tRNA from 1 species
GAGGGUAGAGCUCAGUGGCAGAGUGUGUGCUUAGCAUGCACAAGGUCCUGGGUUCAAUCCCCAAAACCUCCA